UGAUUCAUUUAGCAUUAUUGCUUAGAAUAAAUAAAUGUUCACAUGGCUUUGAGCGGGACGCCCAUUGGCCAUCGUCCUUCUUUUGCUGGUAGUAAAGCUAUAAUUUUUGCAGUUGGUUGUUGUUGACUAGAAUUGUUCGGAGAUAGUUAGGGAGCCAUGGGAGGUCUCUGCUCCAAGGAUUUGGAUGCCAAAAACAGACCUUAUGGUGGAAAUUUGGGUGGGGAUGUUGACUAUUAUAGUAGCAACCGCAAAAACAAGAGCAAACAUUUGCAAGAAGACCAGCCAAAUGCCCAGGGCAGUAAUUUGGAUAGGCCACCGGAGGUUCUGGCUGGGGAAAGCAUGGACAAGCCGUCUCAAGACCUCAAGCCCAAGCAAUCACAAGAACCCUUUUCCUUGGAUGAUUUUUAUGAUGGAAUUCCUCGCUAUCCAUCUCUUAAAUCAAGAUCCUUGCGGUCUGGGCAGUCUGCGGUUGCCAAGGUUUCAGAGGUUAGUUCACGCCUGGGUUCUCUUGGGCUAGUCAAAGCAGUAGAGGUCUUGGACACACUUGGGAGUAGCAUGACAAAUUUAAACUCCAAUAACGGGUUUGCAUCUGCUGUAGCAACAAAGGGGAAUGAACUUGCAAUAUUAGCUUUUGAGGUGGCGAACACAAUUGUUAAAGGUUCCAGCCUUAUGCAUUCCCUUUCGGAUAGAAAUAUAAGACAUUUGAAAGAAAUAGUGCUUCCUUCAGAAGGAGUGCAAAAUCUAAUAUCAAAUGAUAUGGAUGAACUCUUGAAGAUCUUUGCAGCUGACAAGAGGGAGGAGUUGAAAAUUUUCUCAGGAGAAGUUGUUCGUUUUGGAAAUCGAUGUAAAGAUAGUCAAUGGCACAGCUUGGACCGUUAUUUUGAGAAAAUUAGCAGAGAUCAUACUCCUCAAAAGCAAUUGCAGGAAGAGGCAGAGUCUGUAAUACAGCUUCUGAUGACCCUAGUUCAUCAUACAGCAGAGCUAUACCAAGAAUUGCAAAUUUUGGAUAGAAUUGAUCAAGAAUAUCAACGUAGAUGCCAAGAAGAUCAUGCACUUGCUGGUCAAAAAGUUGAUAGCCUUGCAACCAUAAGAGCGGAGCUCAAAAGCCAAAAGAAAAAAGUUCGAAACCUAAAGAAAAAGUCACUCUGGGCUAGAAGCUUGGAAGAGGUGAUGGAGAAGCUUGUAGAUAUUGUCCACUUUUUACUCUUGAAAAUCCAUAACAUCUUUGGUAGUGAAGAUGUUAAUGUACCAGUCAAAGUAUCUAAUAACAAUAACCAGAGCUUGGGACCUGUUGGCCUUUCUUUGCAUUAUGCAAAUAUAGUCAUGCAAAUUGAUACCCUUGUGGCACGAUCAAGUUCUAUGCCUCCUAAUACAAGGGAUUCAUUAUACCAGAACUUGCCACCCAACAUAAAAUCAGCUAUACAUUCCAAAUUACAAUCUUUCCAAGUUAAAGAAGAGCUCACUGUUGCUCAAAUUAAAGAUGAGAUGGAAAAGACUUUACAGUGGCUUGUUCCAAUGUCCACUAACACAGCUAAAGCUCAUCAUGGUUUUGGUUGGGUUGGAGAGUGGGCAAGUACUGGGUCUGAAUCAAAUCGGAAGUCUACUGCCAGUGCAGCUGAUAUAAUUCGAGUUGAGACACUCCACCAUGCAGAUAAGGAGACAACAGAAGCUUAUAUUCUUGAACUAGUAUUAUGGCUUCAUCAUCUGGUCAAUAAAUCCAAGGCUGGUGCAACUGGUGGUAAAAAGUUAUCCAGAAAAUCUCCUAGUUCCACACCAGUUGAAAAGUUGAAUGAGCAACCAAAAGAUGAGGGUUACAGCACGCUAUCAUUAACUAUUGAAGAUCAGGUAAUGUUGGAGGGUGCAAGUAAGAAGAAACGGAUGCCAGGUAUUAGUAAGAGUCAGGACUUUGACUCUGGGAAGACUGGAUUAAGAAAGCACGAUAGACUAAGUAAGAGCAGCAACUAUUCUUGUACAAAAGAAAGCAAGGACUUGAUCAUUGUUAAACAACUCCAUUGUGUGAUUCCCAUUGUUGGGUUGGGAGAAAGCAUGGGAUGUGAUUGACAGCGUUGGUGUGGUUAUCUAACUUAAAAAAUGAUAUAUUAGACAGUUAAUGAUUGGGAUGACGAGCAAAAGACUUCUGGGUGCAUAAAUUGUGUACAUAAAAGGCCAUAUUACAUAUGAAAUAUCACAAUAAAAUUUCUUUUGUUGUUGUUGA